GUGGGGAAUAUUGCACAAUGGGGGAAACCCUGAUGCAGCGACGCCGCGUGAGCGAUGAAGUAUUUCGGUAUGUAAAGCUCUAUCAGCAGGGAAGAAAAUGACGGUACCUGACUAAGAAGCCCCGGCUAACUACGUGCCAGCAGCCGCGGUAAUACGUAGGGGGCAAGCGUUAUCCGGAUUUACUGGGUGUAAAGGGAGCGUAGACGGCAUGGCAAGCCAGAUGUGAAAGCCCGGGGCUCAACCCCGGGACUGCAUUUGGAACUGUCAGGCUAGAGUGUCGGAGAGGAAAGCGGAAUUCCUAGUGUAGCGGUGAAAUGCGUAGAUAUUAGGAGGAACACCAGUGGCGAAGGCGGCUUUCUGGACGAUGACUGACGUUGAGGCUCGAAAGCGUGGGGAGCAAACAGG
rnacentral:rRNA from 2 species